AACAAUGACAAGUAAUUGAUUGACGUAGGUGAGGGGCAGAUUCCAGACUCAGAUUUCCACAAAAAGUAGCCUAGACUAUUUCAUAGCCUAUGUCAACAUUAUUAGCGUUUUUAUUCAUUAUAGUUUUAUUAUAUUAAAAUUCACUUUACAUUCCCAUUAAGUUUUUGUUGGUAAUUAUAGCUCAAAAUGGCCAAAAAAUUUUGGCCAUUUUUCACAAUUACUUGAAAUUCGUAUCAUAACCCACUUACAGCCACUGAGUUAGAAGGACUGACAUGAAAAUUAAACAAGUCAACGGGCAGAAAAACUCCAGCCAAUGAUUUCCAGAACCACAGAGUGGCAUUGGACAGUAAGUAUGUCAAUCAAACGGUCGUACUGCACCCCCCUUCCCCGAGAAGGGUCCAGCUGCAGGCUUGGGCGUUCCCGUCAUGACACAAAAACGCCCAUCGGGCGUUCCCGUCAUGACACAAAAACGCCCAUCAGGCGUUCCUGUAGCGUUUCAUCGAUCAAUCAAGAAGAGGUGAGUGAGUUUCGCAAGGCAUACUGGGUAUGCUACCCUUCCUUUUUUGGCGGUUUUACCUCGUAGUAACUUUCCAGAAAAACGAAAGGGUUAUGAUGAGAGAUUAUGUCAUACCCUGGCACAUGCUUUGUCCAAUGGACCAUGGAAGGGACUUUACUUGGCUGACGAGUACGCAAUGUAUUCUACCCUCAAAAGCAAUAUGAUUUCGGUGAGGGGGACAUGCUCUCUAUCAGGAGGUGGUGGUUGGACUGCUGUUGGAGACCUUUAUGCUUGAAAGCCCUGCAGAACUAGCUGGCUCCUUCUCACCCUCUCCAUCUCCCCAUCUCAGUCACACCUUCCAAUCACUAAGCAGUGAAAGCCCUGCAGGACUAGCUGGCACACCAAGCUCACCCUCUCCAUCUCCCCAUCUCAGCCACACGCUCCAAUCUGGCACAACAGAGGACAGGCCAUUCUUACCACCCGAAGUCCUUCAGCAAAUUGUACAAGAGACGCUGAGACUGGACAUGGCGAUGCUUGGCGUGUUCAACAGGGUUUCAAACACAUUCCGAGAACUAAUCAAGCCUCUCCAUCCUUCAAUAUAUAAAUGACAGUUUGGCAGGGGACAUUAAGCUUAAUAAAGACAAUCUCAUAUACAUAACGGUUAGAAAGAUUUACAACAAUGCAGGCUGUGGCAGUGGCCUUGCGCUACGCCUCAAAGGCUUCUUAAAAAAGAAGAAUUGGCCAAGCGCACCCCUGGUACUGAGGCACGUUGCAUAUGGCAGGUUUGUCAUAAAAGAUGUCUGCAUAGCAUAAUGUUAUUUUAUUACUCC
ensembl:lncRNA